rnacentral:rRNA from 1 species
AUUGAACGCUGGCGGCAUGCCUAAUACAUGCAAGUCGAACGGAAACAGGACUUCGGUUGCUGACGAGUGGUGGAGGGGGGCGUAAUAGUAAGGAACGGAUCAGAUAGCUAGGAAAAACGGAGAGAAAGGUUAGCUAAUAGCUAAUAAGAGCUAAGAUAUAGAGCAGGGGAGCGCAAGAGUUAGAGAGAGCGUAGCGGCCGCUGGUAGAUUGGUCAGCGGGGGAUUAGCUAGUUGGUAAGGUAACGGCUUACCAAGGCGACGAUGCGUAGCAGACCUGAGAGGGUGAUCGGCCACACUGGAACUGAGACACGGUCCAGACUCCUACGGGAGGCAGCAGUAGGGAAUCUUGCGCAAUGGGCGAAAGCCUGACGGAGCAAUGCCGCGUGAGUGAUGAAGGUCUUCGGAUCGUAAAAUGCUUUUAUUAGGGAAGAACAAAUGUGUAAGUAACCAUGCACGUCUUGACGGUACCUAAUCAGAAAGCCCCGGCUAACUACGUG